rnacentral:rRNA from 1 species
GAUGAACGCUGGCGGCGUGCCUAAUACAUGCAAGUAGAACGCUGAAGGAGGAGCUUGCUCUUCUGGAUGAGUUGCGAACGGGUGGGUAACGCGUAGGUAACCUGCCUGGUAGCGGGGGAUAACUAUUGGAAACGAUAGCUAAUACCGCAUGACAACAGUUAUUGCAUGAUAACUGUUUAAAAGGGGCAACUGCUCCACUACCAGAUGGACCUGCGUUGUAUUAGCUAGUUGGUGAGGUAACGGCUCACCAAGGCGACGAUACAUAGCCGACCUGAGAGGGUGAUCGGCCACACUGGGACUGAGACACGGCCCAGACUCCUACGGGAGGCAGCAGUAGGGAAUCUUCGGCAAUGGACGGAAGUCUGACCGAGCAACGCCGCGUGAGUGAAGAAGGUUUUCGGAUCGUAAAGCUCUGUUGUAAGAGAAGAACGAGUGUGAGAGUGGAAAGUUCACGCUGUGACGGUAUCUUACCAGAAAGGGACGGCUAACUACGUG